rnacentral:rRNA from 1 species
ACUCCUACGGGAGGCAGCAGUGGGGAAUAUUGCACAAUGGGCGGAAGCCUGAUGCAGCAACGCCGCGUGAGUGAUGACGGUCUUCGGAUUGUAAAGCUCUGUCUUCAGGGACGAUAAUGACGGUACCUGAGGAGGAAGCCACGGCUAACUACGUGCCAGCAGCCGCGGUAAU